AACUCUUAAAAAGGAAAAAGUAAAGAAAAAAUAUAUAAAAUAUAAAAAAAAUAAUAAUAAAGAAAGUGAUUUGACUUGACUCGGCCAUGCAAAAUAUGGCCAGAGUUGUUGGGGGGUUUUGGACAGAAGAGGAAGAAAGGUUGGGGAUUAGUGUGUCAUGGUGGCAGCAACCAGAGGAGACAGUCUGAGCAUAGCAGUGCAGCCAUGACUAAAGGGCAACUCCACACAUAAGUAGGAAGAAAAGGACGAAUUUGAAGGGGAGACAGUUUCACAAGGGGACGGGGAGAAAAAAGCAAAAUUGGGAACAGAAGCAAGGAGAACAGAGAGAAUAGAAGGAAGAGAAGGAAGCGUGCCGAGGUUGGGAGAAGAAGAGAGUGGAGUCGUGAUUGUACAGUAUCUUCAAGGGUCAUUCCAAUUGUUUAAUUUUAUGUGAUGAUGUAUGUGCACGUAAUGGAUGGUCGGUGGUGCAUUAUCUCGUAGCACGUGGGAUAACUCCAUUUAAGGAACAUUCAUGUUAUAGUGAAUUAUUGAUUUGCUUCAUUUUUGUGAUGGCUUGUAAACGGCAUGGAAAAUAUCUUCUACAAGCAUGCAGUGAAAGCAAGACAAAGAUGGAAGAGAAGGAUCAACAGAAUUAUUGAUUUGCUUCAUUUUUUUUAUGCCUUGUAAACGGCAAGGAAAAUAUCUUCUACAAGCAUGCAGUGAAAGCAAGACAAGGAUGGAAGAGAAGGAUCAACAGGUAAGAAUUGUGCAUAAGUGUGAGACGAAGUACAUUGUUGAAGCCAACAAUUUACUCAAACCAAGUCAUCGUAAAAGAAUAAAAGUUACACCUUUUAGAUGGUGUUUGGAGUUGGGGAAGGUGGUGGAAAUAAACCACCCAUUGAUUAGGGAAGUUUUUGUAUCAAUGGGUUUCUAAUGGGGACUUCAUUCGUGUUGGGCAGCAAUUGGUUUGCUUAUCAGUGUAUAAUGUUUGUAUUUGCUUAGGUGUUAGUAUGGUUAGUAAAUCUGUUAAGUUUGAUAGUGAUGUAAGUGGGUUAGUAGGUUCACUAUUUCACAACAAACCAAUUACAGUAGGAGACAUACAUGAGAAGAUUAAGAUCUGUAUGGGUAGGGAUGAUGACGAUGUGGAUAGUGUGUGUAGGCUUUAUUUAUUACUCUAUUUUUGUGUCUUUUAUUUCCCUAGGACCUCUAAGACUGUCUCAAAUAUGCCUUCCAAAUUUUAGACAAUUUGGACAACUUGAGUGACUUUAAUUGGGCGAAUUAUGUACAUACGUUUUUGAUCGGUGCUUUGAAUCGUGGAUGUAAGGUUG